CCACGUUAUAUUUUUAUUUAUGAGAUGUUCUACAGCUAUUGCCUUAGAGGCAAGACUUAAUUAGCUCAAGGACUUUCAAACUAUAAAUUAUGCCCCCACGAGCAAAAGUUGACUCUACCACAUUAUGUUUUCAUUUAUGAGAUGUUCUACAACUAUUGUCUUAAAGACAAGACUUAGCUCAAGGACUUUCAAGUUUCAAACUACAAAUUAUGCCCC
rnacentral:lncRNA from 1 species